rnacentral:lncRNA from 1 species
AAAUAAUUGUAUAAAUUUAUUUACAAAUGAUUGUAAAUAAACAAAAGAGAUUUCUUUAAUUUAUGUAUUUGUGUUAAUAUAAUUAUAUAUGUAAUAGUUAAGAAUUUUUCAAUUAUUCAACGUAUAUUUAUUAAUUUGUUUCAUAAUAUAUUAAAAUAUGUCAAGCAAAUGAUAAUAAAUAAAAAUAAGGGAUUUUUGCAAAAUUGACCUAUAACUUAAAGUCAAACACAAAACUAACCUCCUUUUUUUUUGAAAAUUGGUUUUGCCCUAUUCACCCCACAAGUUCAUAUAAUUUACGAAAAUGCCAUCCAUUUUUUUUUUAUUUUUUUUUCGAAAAUGACAUUUUUACUCUCUCACCCUCAUCAUCUUCAAGUAAUUACAAGAUUGCCAUUGUCAUCAAUACCACAACCACCAUGAACAACCAAUUUGAAGCUCUUAAUGCUCCUAAAAUCGAUUUACCCUUCUU